GGCGGCGUGCCUAACACAUGCAAGUCAAGGAGAAUUCCCGACUUGUCGGGAUAGUAAACUGGCGAACGGGUGAGUAACACGUAGGUAAUCUGCCCUCGGGAUCGGGAUAACCUCGCGAAAGUGGGGAUAAUACCGAAUAAAGUCUCGGUAUAAUUUGUCGAGAUGAAAGAUGGGGAUCUUCGGACCUAUUACCUGAGGAUGAGCCUGCGCCUGAUUAGCUAGUUGGUAGGGUAAAUGCCUACCAAGGCAACGAUCAGUAGCUGGUCUGAGAGGAUGAUCAGCCACAUUGGGACUGAGAUACGGCCCAGACUCCUACGGGAGGCAGCAGUGAGGAAUUUUGCGCAAUGGGCGAAAGCCUGACGCAGCAACGCCGCGUGACUGAUUAAGCUCUGAGGAGUGUAAAAGUCUGUCGUAGAGGAAGAAACUAUCCGAUAAGAAUAUUGUCGGAUACUGACGGUACUCUAUGAGAAAGCUCCGGCUAACUCCGUG
rnacentral:rRNA from 1 species